UACGGAGGGUGCAAGCAUUGAUCGGAAUUACUGGGCGUAAAGGGCUAGUAGGCGGCCGAUUAAGUCCGACGUGAAAUCCCCAGGCUUAACCUGGGAACUGCGUCGGAUACUGAUUGGCUUGAAUCCGGGAGAGGGAUGCGGAAUUCCAGGUGUAGCGGUGAAAUGCGUAGAUAUCUGGAGGAACACCGGUGGCGAAGGCGGCAUCCUGGACCGGCAUUGACGCUGAGGAGCGAAAGCCAGGGGAGCAAACGGG
rnacentral:rRNA from 1 species